CUGCUGAUGGGAAGUGGAGAAUAAACGUUAUUUUCCUCUUCAUUGGGGGAAGAGGAAAAGCUGUGAGUGCCCAGCAUGGAGAAGGUUCUUUCUCCAUCACCUCUGUGCCAGUCCCAGAAUAGUUCGGGUUGAAUGGGACUUGGAAGCCCAUGUUGUUCCACCCCUGCCCCAGGCAGAUACACCUCCCACCAGCCCAGGUCACUUCAGGUCUGGUCCCACCUGGCCAGUAACGCUGUUGGUGAUGGGGCAGCCAAAUCAGUCUAACCGAGAAGAACCGGGACGAGCCAGUGCUGCUGCGGCAUCGGCUCCUUCCGAGCAUGCUGAGGGGUCAUUGGGAAGAAGACAACCAUGGGCAGCUGCUCCCUCAGCAGCCCCUGGGGAGGGGACAUGGGGCAGGACAAGCCCGCUGGACCCUUCUCACCACCGCAGCCGCAAAGAGGCUCUGGUCGCCUCCACCACUUUUAUAGCAGCUGAAGUGUUCGCCCACACCGCUCUGACCAAGGGGGAAAUCAGACGAUGGGAGUGGAAUGCAGCCCCCGUGUCCAUGCGGCGCCACCUCGGCCAACUCUUCAUCCCGGGAACUGAGCCGCGGUCCAGCCGUGGGAUCUGCAGCGCUGCACAGUGACCGGCUGGGGAAGCGCAUGAGCCGGGUGGGGGUUCCUGGUUACCACGGACGUUCCCUCAAGGCCGUGUCCCCGCCAAGAUCGGGCGAGGCCCCGCAGGCCUCAAACCAACUGGGGGGACAGCCCCAGAAACCAGAACUUUGGUUUCGGGCGCUUGGAGCUGAACGAGGGGGAUAAAGGAUCCCCCGGCCCCUCCCCCCGGUGCCCCAGCAGCAGCUCUGCCCCCCAGAAUGGGGCUGUGUUCCCCCCCCGGGCUUUAGGGGGUGAGUGCAGAGUAGGUGCUGAGGUGCUGGAUGUCUCUUGACCGAUGGGGCUGAAAGGGACAAGGAGGUGUCAAACAAGUGGCAAAACCAAAUAAAUGAAUGGUGUGUAUCAGGUC